UUUUUUUUCCGUUUUCACCGUCGCGACGACGUCGCGUCCGACGCGUCGCGACGCGCGGUCGCGACGACGACGGACGUCGACGACGACGCGACGACGACGACGCGAGGGGCGACGCCUCGACGCGCGCGCGUCGAUUCGCGAAAGAGCGAACGCGCGUUCGCACCGCGCGCGACGGCGACCGCGCGCGACGCCUCGAGGCGCGACCGCGCGGUCGCCCUCGCGACGCGCGCGCGCGACUUACGGGUUUUUCGCGCCGUCGCGCGUCGCGCGUCGCGCGUCAUUCGUCACUCGUCGGCGCGCGUCGACGCGCGUCGGGCUUCGUCGACGCCCGUCGCGUCGAUCGAUCGUACAUUGAAGCGCGCGGCAUGCUCGCGCGCGUCGCGGUGCGCGCGCCCGCGCGCGACGCGCGACGCGACGCGACGAGGACGAGGACGAGGACGACGAAGCGUUCGAAGAUGACGAUGACGACGACGACGACGACGACGACGCGCGCGAUGGCGCGCGCGAUGACGACGACGACGACGCGCGCGACGCGCGGGACGGUCGUCGUCGUCGGUGGGCGCGCGCGCGCGCGCGAGGGACGCGAGGGCGCGCGCUCGGGACGGACGCGAAGGGAGGCGCGAGGGCGCGAGGACGAGGACGAGACGGGCGAGGACGAGGCGCGAGGCGCGAGCGCGGAGGGAUCGAGCGAAACGACGACGGGAGGCUCGGAAACGUCGACGUCCGAGACGGCGGCGACGGCGACGGGACGCGAGGGGGGGAAAGCGUCGUGGAUAAGGGCGAAGGCGAAGGCGUUCGCGGACGGUUUACCCUUCGCGGCGAAUAAAAAGAAGUGGGACGCGCUCUUCGCCGACGCCGACGCGAGUCCGCUGGACGCGGCGAAGCAGGACGUGUUGAUGCGAGAGCUGUUGGCGUACGAUAGGAACGAUGAUUUGAUGAAGCGGUUCGAGACGAGACGGUACGCGAGCGGGCCGGUGUCGGUGCUCGCGUACGUCACGGCGCUCGUGCGGACGAAUAGAUUGGAACACUUCGUCGCGGGCGGCGAUGCGGGAUUCGGGAAGCCGUUGCCGAGCUUCGACGAGUCCACGGCGUAUCGCAAGCUUCCGGAUUUGUUGGGCGAUCUCUCCGAACGCUCGAAAGGCGCGGACGCGCUCGUGCCUUUGGAGACGGGGAAGAGCGCGCAGGCGCCGUUGCACGUCGCCUUUGUCGGUGGUGUCGGUGGAUUGGCGCCGCCGCAAAGCGCGGGGCGGCGAUUGUUGAAUGCGUUUUUAGGUUUCAUGCUCUUCAUCGCGAGUUUAAGCUUCUUGAGCACGCUGGCGUUGCGUCACAUCGCGGUUCGCGUCAUCGAGAGCGGGCCGAGUCACAGUUCGAGUCACUCGUUGCCGGCGCCGCGAGACGAAUCGGGCUCGUCUGCGUCUUCGAGCUUGGGGCCGGGUUCGAACGGUGGUGGACCGAACUUUGACCCGAAGCAGUUCAACAAAGACACGAUGCCGGAGAAGAGUUUGAAGACGUUCGACGACGUCAAAGGGUGCGACGAGGCCAAGGACGAGCUCGCGGAAAUCGUCGAGUAUUUGAGAAAUCCGGAAAAGUUUACGCGACUCGGUGGCAAGUUGCCGAAGGGCGUCUUACUCACGGGUCCACCGGGAACGGGUAAGACCUUGCUCGCGCGCGCGGUCGCGGGCGAGGCGGACGUGCCAUUCUUUUAUCGAAGCGGGAGCGAGUUCGAAGAAAUGUUCGUGGGCGUGGGGUCCAAGCGCGUUCGCCAGCUCUUCGCCGCGGCGAAGAAGAAGACGCCGUGCAUCGUCUUCAUCGACGAAAUCGAUUCCAUCGGUACGUCGCGCAAGUCCAUCGAGAACCAGCACCGAAAGACGCUGAACCAGUUGUUGACGGAGAUGGAUGGGUUCGAGCAAAACGACGGCAUCAUCGUCCUGGCGGCGACGAACAUCCCGGAGUCGCUCGACCCCGCGCUCACGCGUCCGGGGCGAUUCGAUCGCAUGGUGCACGUGCCUAAUCCCGAUAUCGGUGGCCGCCGCGAGAUCCUCGAGCAUUACUUGGACGACAAGCCGACGACGAGCGACGUGGACGUCGACAAAAUCGCGCGCGGCACCGCCGGAUUUAGCGGCGCCGAGUUGUUCAACCUGGUGAACAUGGCGGCGGUGCAAGCGGCGAUGGCAGACGCGCCGGCGAUCACCGCCGCGGAUCUUGAUUGGGCGCGCGAUCGCGUGUUGAUGGGUGCCGAGCGCAAAUCCGCGGUAUUGAGCGAAGAAAACCGAAAGUUGACGGCGUACCACGAAGCCGGACACGCGCUCGUGGCGUUGAAAUCCGACGCGGCGCUUCCGAUUCAUAAAGCCACCAUCAUGCCUCGAGGGUCGGCGCUGGGGAUGGUGAUGCAACUUCCCGACAAGGACGAGACAAGCGUGAAUCGCAAGCAACUCAUGGCGCGUUUGGACGUGUGCAUGGGCGGUCGCUUGGCCGAGGAGCUCAUCUUUGGCUCGGACGAAGUCACCACGGGGGCGAGCGGGGAUCUGCAGCAAGCCACACGUUUGGCGUUUUACAUGAUUAGCGACGUCGGCAUGAACACCAACUUAGGUCCGGUGCAUCUUUCGAGCAUUCGCGGUGGAAACGCCGGACGCGGUGCUUCUGGGUCCACGGAGUCCGCCGUCGACGGCGAAGUCAUCAAGCUCUUGAAGGAUUCGCAAACGCGCGUGCAAAAGCUGUUAAAAUCCAACCUGAGCGAUUUGCACACCAUCGCCAAGGCGUUGAUGGAGAAGGAAACGCUCACGGGGAACGAAAUCCGCGCGCUCAUCGGGAUGCCUCCGGCGAAAGAACCGGUGGCCGUCGUAUCGCGCGCCAAGCCCAAGGCGCCGAAGCCCAAGGCGCCCGAGGCCAAGGCGGAAAAACCGAGCGAAGACGCGGCGGAGGAGGACGAAACGACGAUCAUCGUCAUUCAGCUCAAGGACGAGGACGAUUCGCCCAAGUAGUUUACGCCCGAGGACGAGGAGCGACGAGGAGCGACGAUGUACGACGGACACACUAUGACUAGCUAUCUUUCACAUUACGAAUACAGUACCAACACGACGUUUCCUUCACGACGACCGCAGCCUGGCCAACUCGCACGCGAUGUCCGCGCCGAUUUUAGCGUUGUUCAUCACCAACGCGAUGUUCGCCUUCAAACUCGCCCCGCCCGUGAGCUCGGCGACGCGUUUCAGGACGUACGGCGUGACGUCGCGGCCCGCGACGCCUCGUUCUUCGGUUUCGCGCAACGCGCGCGCCGUCGCGCUCUCGAUGCUCGCCCCCAGCGCCUCGUGCUCGAGCGGUAUCGGCACCGCGAAAACGCUUCCGCUGUUUAGAUUCAGCCGCAGUCCCGCGUCGAUGACCUUCGCCGCCUCCAGAGGCGUGUCCACGCGCGCCGGCGCCUCGCAUCCGCUCGAUCUCGUGAAAAAAGCUGGAAAUUCGUCGACGCCGUACGCGCACACCGUCACCCCGUUCGUCUCCAGCACCUCCAGCGUCCUCGGAAUGUCCAGAAUCGACUUCGCCCCCGCGCACACCACCGCCACCGGCGUUCUUCCGAGCUCCAUCAGAUCCGCGCUCACGUCCAUCGUGUCCUGCCCCCCCACGUGCACGCCACCGAUCCCUCCCGUGACGAACACGUCCACGCCCGCCGCGCGCGCCAGCACCAUCGUCCCGCUCACCGUCGUCGCCGCCGUCUUUCCCGUCCCGCACGCCGCGCUCAGGUCUCGUCUCGACGCCUUCGCGCACGCCGUCCCCAUGCGCGCCACGCGCUCGAGUUCACCGUCCGUCGCGCCGACGACGCAGACGCCGUCCACGAUCGCCACCGUCGCCGGCGUCGCGCCUCGCGCGCGCACCGCGCGCUCGACCGCGCGCGCCGUUUCGAGAUUUUCUGGAUGCGGCAUCCCGUGCGCGACGAUGGUGCUCUCGAGCGCGACGACGGCGCCGCCGCGCGCCAGCGUCGCGCGCACCUCGUCCGAGACGCGCACGGCGACGUCGGCGCGCGCCGUCGGCGCGACGUGCGUCGAGAGACGCGCGAUGCGUCGCCGCGGGGCGUCGGCAUCGCCGACGCGCGGCAUCGCGACGCGAAGUGUCGCCGCACUCCGACCCGCAGCGCGCGCCGAUCGCGCGACGCGACGCGACGCGAUGCCCGCGGUGACGCUGUACGCGCGCCAGCGCUCGAUCGGGGACGCGCCGACGCACGACGGCGUGGAGAGCGCGCACGUCGCGGCGCUGCUGCUGACGUCGAGCGUCGAACAUCGCGUCGAGCGGUGCGCGACGGCGGCGAGCUCGCCCUCGGGCGCGCUGCCGUGCGUGGAGAUCGAUGGUGACGUCGACGGGGACGCCUCGGGGGCGGGACCGGCGCCGCGGAGCGCGCGAGAGGCGGCGCACAGAUGCGCGACGGCGACGCGGACGCGGACGCGAGACUGCGACGGCGACGCGAGCGCGGAUGAACGCGCGAUGAUCGCGGGAUUGCACGCGCUGGCGCGAGAAAAUUUGAGACUGGCGAGCGAAUACUUUGCGUACGUCGACGCGGUGGGAUACGAGGCGCGAAAGGAGGAAUUGGCGAAGACGCUGCCGUGGCCGCUGAGCGCGUGGACGGCGCGAAGCGCGGCGAAGGAGGCGAAGCGAGAGCUCGAUAGGGCGGGCGUGGACGGCGAACGGGCGUGCGCGAUGGCGGUGGAGGCGUAUGGGGCGUUGAAUAAUCGAUUGGUGAACUCGAACGCGAGGCACGGAGAUGGGUAUUGGUUGUGCGGGGCGAAACCGAGGAGCUGCGACGCGGCGGCGUACGCGCAGUUGAGUUAUCACGCGCGGUCGCCCUCGUGCGGGCCGCUGCGAGCGGAGAUGAAGCGGUAUCCGCGGUUGAUACAGUACGUGAACGAUGUCACGGAACGAUUGGUGGAGAUGGAGAAGACGCUGGUGCAGAACGCGGACGACGUCGAGCCCUCGCGAGGAACGGCGCCGACGGUGGAUCCGAGCGCGUGGGGCGACAGGUACGACUCGAAUCACGCCGAGCGUCGAACGGGAUGGAAACCGCGCACGACCAAGGCGAAGAAAAUGAGCGAGAAAGAUAAGGAUAUGCGCAGGAAGGCGUGGUACUCGGUCGGUUUCGCCGCGGCGUCGGUGAUUUCGUACAUGUUUCUCGGCGGCUUCAUUCAACUCGAUUUCGACGACGAAGACGACGAAGACGAAGAUCACGCGGCGGACGACGUCGACGACGACGAAUGAGUGCGUUCGCUACAAACUAAAAGAUAUAUGCAAUACAAAACGCUAAUCGUGCCUUCAACGAUGCAUACAGCAGCCAAAGAGGGCGCCGGAGAGGCGCUCAAAAAACGUCGCCGGCGGUUUUUUCGCGUUCGCCAGACGCGCCGCCUUUUUCCGAUACACCGCGGUGUUCUUGUAGUCCAUCCUCUGGCGCACCUUGCGCUGAUCGUCCUCGUGCGAGAACGAUAUCGCCCUUUGGAAUUCCUUGGCGAGAGCAUCCACCGACGACGACGCGUUUUCCUUCUUCGCCGCCGCCGCCGCCUCGGCGGCUUCGCGUCGCAGUCUAUCCUUCUUAUCCUUCUUCGCCUUGAGUGCGGCCUCGUAAUCUUUCCGCGCCUUGUCGUAUUUCUCCACAACUUUCUGCGGCACCACGGCGGAGCCGAUGUGAUGGGCGCCUUGUCGCUUCUUCGUAGCUUCGUCGUCCAAGUCCUCGUCGUCCCAAAUCUUUGGGGUUUCCCCUCCCAACGCGUUUAAUAAACCGUUCACGCCCACGUUCACGGAGCUCCCAUCUUGCGUGCUUCGCUCGUCCGCGAAAUCCGGAUCCACGCUCUCCGUGCUCGCGAGCAUCGACCCUCCGCGCGGCCCUCGACUCGAGUGCCUCGAGCUCGCGCGCGACCCCCGUCGACUCGACCGCGCGCUCGAGCUCGAGUACCCAGCCUCGCUCCUCGCCUGAUCGAUCUUCUCCCGCAAUUUCUCCAGCUCCGCCCGCGUGAUCUCGAUCGCCUCGUUCUCGGCUUCGUAUUCGCUGUGUCGCGACGCCGACCGUCCCGCGUACACCGCGCCGAGCGCGUCGCGUCGGUUCAAUCGCUUCGUCGACCGUCCCCGUCGACCGUCGUCGCUCGCGUCGCCCUCGUCCUCGCUCAACCACGCGUGCGCGUCGCCCGAGUCAUCGUUCGCGCGCGCGCGCGCGUCGAACGACGCGAGACGUCCCGCCGCGGCGCGCGACAUUCCGGAGGGUGUUACGAGUGCGAACGCGCGCGCGUCGCGCGCGCGUCGCGCGCGCGUCGCGAGCGCGUCGCGCGUCGAGCGUCGCGGUCGGCGCGCGUUCGAGCGUCGGGACGAACCGGCGCGGCGUCGCGGCGCGCGGCGUCGUGACGCGCGGGCGGGCGGUCGUGAAUGUCGAGGGGCGCGCGUCGACGCGCGCGCGCUCGAGUCCCCUCGCUCGAGUCCUGAACCGUCGAUGGAGCGUUUUUUGAGCGUUUUUCGUCGGGAACGACGACGACGCGGGACCGAGGCGCGACAGAGCGACGCGCGACGCGACGCGCGAGGCGUCGAACGACAUGGCGAAGAUCACCGAAGUCGACGACGGGCGCGAUGGGGACGCGACGCUGGGAAAGGCGCGCACGAGGCACGAAGAGAUGAAGGAAUUGCAAGCGCUGGCGGAUGAAAUCACCGAGGACGCGCGCGAUGGUUCGGGGGACGACGAGGACGAGGACGACGACGGCGAGAGCGAGAGCGAGGAGGAAAUCGUGAACGGGGAGUUCGUCACCGGACCGACGGUGUGGGAAGCCGCGGCGGACGAAGAAAUUCCGGAAAACCAUUGGGAGUAUCACAUGCGCAAGAAUAUGAACGACGGGCGCGGCGACUCGGUGGCUCGAAACUUGGCGUACGUACCUGUGUGUAACUGCAUGCCGGUGUGCGCGGGGGAGGAGUGCAGAAAUCCUUAUUUCAUGUGGACGAAGAAGAAGUGAACGACGUUAUUGCUGUAUGAAAUGAAAUAAAUACAUUUACAACACUCGAGCGCUCGACGCUAAAAAUUCGUCGGCGUCGCCUCGACGGGGUCGCCGCGAUCGUUUCUUCGCAUGAUCUCGCGCGCCAGACGCACUUGUCGACCGAGCACGAGAACAGACACGCGCCCUUCGCCCAACGCGCCGCGCGCGGUGCGCCCGACUCGUCGAACGUACUCGCUCGGGUCGCGCGGGAAAUCAAACAAGAUGACGUGCUUGACUCGCGAAGCGUCCAAACCUCGAGACGCGCGGUCCGUGCACACGAGAAUGUGCGGCAUCUUCGACGGCGACGUGAUGAACUCUUUCAGGUUUCUCUGCUGCUGCUCGCGCGACAGCGCGGCGUGGUACGGUAGUAUCUUGUACUUGUCGCCGUCGCGAUCGGCGCGCGUGAGCAUGUUUUCGAGCUUUCUGCACGUCUCGAUUUUGUUGCAAAACAGCAACGCCCGGUCGGCUUUGUCGACCUCGAGCAAAUCGAGCAAGGCUUUGAACUUGCGAUAAAAUCCCGAUUGGUCAUCGAAGACGUCACCACCGCUACAAUCGAUGAGACGCUCGAGCAUACCAGCCGAAGGACGAUGAAGACCCGGGCCUUGCACGACGCGAAUAUCGCGCUCGAAAAACUUUUUCAGUUGCUUCAACACUUCGUCCGGGAUCGUGGCGGUGACGAGCACGAACUGCGUGUCUGAUUUCACCGCGUUUCGAAUCGGCGCGACUUGUUCGGCGAACUCAAAGCUUUCACCGAGCAAGACGUCGCACUCGUCCAAAACCACCGCGUCGACGUCGUCCGUGAACAUUUUGCCUUCCUCGAUGAGCCUCGCCACGCGCCCGGGAGUGCCGACGACGAUGUCUACGCCGUCUACGAGAGCUUCAAUUUGCGUUCGCGACUUACUGACGUUGUUUGCCAGGAGCGAGCGCGAGCGAAGGCCGCCGAAAGAGAGUUGCUUUACGACGUCUCGCACUUGCGUCGCGAGCUCGCUCGUCGGCGUCAAAACCAAAAGCCGCGGCUUUUUCGAUUUGCUUCGCCCUUGCUCGACUUCGAUCUUUUGCACGCGCUGCAGCAGCGGCAACAAGUACGCCAACGUCUUUCCACUUCCCGCUUGAUCGGCCAACAAAACGUGGCCGUCGUAGCGCGGCGCGGACGCGCCCGCGACGUCGCCGCUGAGCACGCGGUACGAUUGCGCUUGAAUGUGCGACGGACGAUCUAUUUUGAAACUCUCCUUCAACGCCGCGCGCACCUCGUCGCUCGCGCCGAGCUGGUUGAACCGCGCGCCGGAAAAGAACGAGUACUCGUCCAAAUCAUCCGGCUCGCGCGUGUACACCAUGGGUUCGAAGUCGUCCUCGACGUACUUGCUCAAGAGUUCGGGGAGGUACUGUUUUCUCUCCUCGCCCCAUCGACGUCCGUCCUCGAGUUCGUCCUCCAGCCCUCGCAACAACCAAUCGUCAUCGUCGUCAUCGAACGCGCGAUCGUCUUCGUCCAUCACGUCGUCACCUCCCUCGUACUCGCUCCUCGCGUCGUAAUACCGAUCCCGCCGCUCGUACGCGUCGUCGCCAUCGCCUCGAAACCCUCGCGCGCCGCCCUCGCGUCCGCGCGCGCCGUCGUCACCGACCGCUCCGCGUCCAAAUCGUCCCCGCCCGCGUUCGCCGUCCCGCUCGGCGCCGUCGAACCGUCCUCGUCCUCGUCCUCGUCCUCGUCCUCGUCCUCGUCCUCCCUCGCGCGCGCCGCCGCGACCGCCGCGACCCCGCCGUCCUCCCUCGCGCGCGCGUCCACCGCCGUCCGCCUCGAACCUCGACCCGAACCGCGCGUCGUCUCUUUCUCUCCGCGCGAAUCCGUCGUCUCUUUCUCUCCGCGCUCGCCGCGCGUCGUCGCCGUCGUCGCCGUCGUCGCCGCGCCUCGCGUCCGCGUCGCCCGGCCGCGAGCCGUCGCCGCGCUCGAUGAUUCGAAACCCGCCUCGCCGCUCGGCGUCGCGCUCGCGCGCGUCGCGCUGGUGCGCGCGCUCGUCGGCGUCGUCGCGCCGAUGCGUCCCUCGCGCGCGAGACGCGCGCGCGUCGUCGUCGUCGCGAAACGCGGCGGCGGCGGCGCGACGGGGCGCGCGCGCGCGCGCGAGGGACGCGCGCGAGACGCGCGAGGACGCGCGACGCGCGAGGGCGACGACGCCGACGCGCGUCGCGCGCGCGCGCGAGGGCGCGGUCGCGGCGGAGGUCAUCGCGCGGCGGGGUGUGAGGAUGCGCGACGACGACUGGCGUUACAAGAGCGUCCGGGCGCGGACGACGCGCGCGGGACGGCGCGGCUCGCGAAGCCGGCGCUCGCGAGAUUUAAAACACAACAACAACGCGCGUGAGGGAAACCUCGCGCGAGGGAUAACGACGGGGGAGAAAAUUUGACCGGGAGCGGCGGCGCCGACGAGACGCGGGACGCGCGCCGCGCGCGUUUCGGCGGCGGCG
rnacentral:lncRNA from 1 species